rnacentral:rRNA from 1 species
CCCUUAGAUGUUCUGGGCCGCACGCGCGCUACACUGAUGCAUUCAACGAGUCUAAAACCUGCUCUGAUAGGGGUGGGUAAUCUUUUGAAUGUGCAUCGUGAUUGGGAUAGAUGAUUGCAAUUUUUCAUCUUCAACGAGGAAUGCCUAGUAAACGCAAGUCAUCAGCUUGCAUUGAUUACGUCCCUGCCCUUUGUACACACCGCCCGUCGCUGCCCGGAACUGAGCCGUUUCGAGAAGACUGAGGAUUGCUGACUUGAGGCCUUCACGGGCUUCUAGUCGGUGAAAAUCAAUUUAAUCGCAGCGGCUUGAACCGGGCAAAAGUCGUAACA